rnacentral:rRNA from 1 species
GACGAACGCUGGCGGCGUGCUUAACACAUGCAAGUCGAACGGUGAACCAGAGCUUGCUCUGGGGAUCAGUGGCGAACGGGUGAGUAACACGUGGGCAACCUGCCCCAGACUCUGGGAUAACCUCGGGAAACCGAUGCUAAUACCGGAUACGUCCACUUCGGACAUCCGACGGUGGUGGAAAGUUUUUCGGUCUGGGAUGGGCCCGCGGCCUAUCAGCUAGUUGUGGGGUAAUGGCCUACCAAGGCGACGACGGGUAGCCGGCCUGAGAGGGCGACCGGCCACACUGGAACUGAGACACGGUCCAGACUCCUACGGGAGGCAGCAGUGGGGAAUAUUGCACAAUGGGCGAAAGCCUGAUGCAGCGACGCCGCGUGAGGGACGACGGCCGUCCGGGUUCGGUUAAACCCGUACCUUUACCUACGC